GAGGCAAUCAGCUGGGGGGGGGAAGAACCAUUCCGAGGGGCAGAAACAUGCAGAGAAGCAAGAAGGAAGCACGCUGAGAGUAGUGGAAGCAGCAGGAGAAAAUCAGCAGAGGGCCGCAGCACUCGGAAGUAGAAAGAAGAAAAAUUGGCAGAAUGGGCUCCUUUGCCCCCAGACUGGUAUUGGACCCUGAUGGAGUGGAAAGAGAAUUGUGAAUUUCAACUAUAAUGCUGAAAUAAGACAGAGAGAAUCAGCAGAAUGAAGGAUUCGGGAAAGAAACGCAAAGAUGACCAGCUCUGAAAGAAGAAGGCUUAGGCUAAAGUCUAAGAGUUGGAGAUACAGAAUUGAAGCAGUAGUCGAGAGAGGAUCGUGGACCCGCGUUGGAGAGAACAAAAAGACGGUCAAUCACCCCAGUUCUUCAGCAGAGAAAUCGCAUUAAGUCAAAGCCCAGAGGAACAAGCAGGUAUCCGCGUCGCCGGAUGACGAGAGAAGCGGCAGUGGGCUCGAGUGGAAAACUCACAGACAACUCAGGGCAGGUAGACCACGUUCUGGAAUAUCUUCCCUCACUGAGUGAGCGAGCCAUUUAAUGGCUGAGAUUUGGAUUUAUUUCUUCACGGAUCUACUCCAGAGCAGCUUUAAUUUCGGAGCUAUGUAUCUUUGCGCUAAUCCUAUAUUUUUAUGCCAGUUCUUGGAAGUCGUGCGUUGUUUCAACGAAAAAGAGAAGACUUGCUACGCUUCAAACGCGGCAGAAAAAUACUGUACAAGCCACAACAGAAGGAGGGGACUUUUUUUUUUUUUCCCCCAAAAUGAGGGGACCCAGGCGAAAGCAUUUGGAGUCAAACUGACUUCUUCAAACCGCUCAGGAUUUGCAAGUUUCUCUGAACCGGAGUCUGAAUGGCAGAUGUUGUGAAUGCCUGGCAAUAGGAUUAAAAUCUUACAACAAGUU